ACCUUUCAGAUUCCCUAACCUGUCAGACCUAACCACUGGUCUGAGGGGUAUAAAAGGAAAGGAGGAAAAGUAAAAUCGAAACUGACUUAAAUUCUUUUGUGACAUACAAGCUAGUUAAAAAAGU
rnacentral:snoRNA from 1 species